rnacentral:tRNA from 1 species
GUCCCAAUGUGGCAUAGUGGUUUGAAUGCUGGACUAUGACUCUGGAGACCAAGGUUCGAUUCCCAGUUUGGCCA